rnacentral:ncRNA from 1 species
UUGCGCAAGCAAGUAAGAUCCCUCAAAGACGAUGAGGUAGAUAGGUUCGAGGUGGAAGCGUGGCGACACGUGCAGCUGACGAAUACUAAUCGAUCGA